CCAGAAUGUCAACGGUGCUGAGGCUGAGAACCCCUAAGUUAAGGGAAGCAGGAGAGAGAACACAUAUAUGCCCCAAUCCCAGAACCACUGGACUCAAACAUCAUCACAAAGCAUUCAGCACUCUUGCUGCCCCAAACAGCUCCAAUCUGAACUACAACAGGUCCUGCCUCAGGCCUUCCCACUGGCUGUGGUCUCUACUUAGAGCACUGAGCCCCACACAGCUGGCUGGAUGGUCUCUUUGGCUCCUUCAGUGACGGCUCAAGUAACACCU